CAAUCCUCGGCUACACUCUGAAAUUACCAACUGCACGAUGGUACAUUUCAAUUUUUGCCCGAGGUAGAUGAAACUUUUAGUUCCACUACUCACCGCGAUGUACCACGUAUAAAUUUGGUCAUAGCGGUCCAUUGAUCGGAUCUACAU
rnacentral:snoRNA from 1 species